AGUGGUCUGAUGUUAAGGAGUUAUUGAUACUAACACUGGUAUCACUAUAGUUACAUAUAGGCCCCUCAUUGAUAAAUUCGACUGGCUUUUC
rnacentral:sRNA from 1 species